rnacentral:rRNA from 1 species
CCUACGGGCGGCAGCAGUGGGGAAUAUUGCACAAUGGGCGCAAGCCUGAUGCAGCCAUGCCGCGUGUGUGAAGAAGGCCUUCGGGUUGUAAAGCACUUUCAGCGGGGAGGAAGGCGUUAAGGUUAAUAACCUUGUCGAUUGACGUUACCCGCAGAAGAAGCACCGGCUAACUCCGUGCCAGCAGCCGCGGUAAUACGGAGGGUGCAAGCGUUAAUCGGAAUUACUGGGCGUAGAGCGCACGCAGGCGGUCUGUCAAGUCGGAUGUGAAAUCCCCGGGCUCAACCUGGGAACUGCAUUCGAAACUGGCAGGCUAGAGUCUUGUAGAGGGGGGUAGAAUUCCAGGUGUAGCGGUGAAAUGCGUAGAGAUCUGGAGGAAUACCGGUGGCGAAGGCGGCCCCCUGGACAAAGACUGACGCUCAGGUGCGAAAGCGUGGGGAGCAAACAGGAUUAGAUACCCGAGUAGUC